CAGAGACUCCCUUUACGCCAUGUUUCCUUCAGAGGCUCGGAUGCGGGUCCAGCAAGCAGCGAGGAUGCAAAGAGCAGAGCCCAUCUCCUAGGAGCCGGCCCUGUCCCGCGCUGCAGCCCGGCCCCCGGGAGGCCCUGGAUCCCGCCGCCUCCCAGAUGCCUGCAGAGGGCGUCCGUGUCCGCAGAGCCAGCCCGCGGCCUACCCAGCCGUGCGGGAGGUGGCUGCUUGGCUGCUCCCGUUAGGUGGCUGAACUCGCCAGCCAGACGGCAUUCAGAAUACGGAAGCAGAAAGAUCUGCAGGCGGCUGCGUACCCUGGCUGUGAAUUAUUAUUCCGAGCACAUGGCUGUUGUAAAAUUACACUAUCUGCUUAUGUAGGAAGGGAGAAACGCAGUCAUUAUUUAUGUGGCUCAAUGAUCCCGUUUACGUGUGUCCACUGCUCCCUGGCUCUGCGUGCACCGUGCUUAGAGAAGGAGGCUGAAAGAACUCCAAAAGCCUGGAGAAGAGAAGGCUGUGAGGUGACCUGAUAGUGGCCUUUCGGUAUCUAAAUGGGAGCUACAGGAAAGAAGGGAACAGACUCUUUCGCGGGGUCUGUGGUGAUAGAAUAAGGGGAAAUGGCUUCAAGCUUCAAGGGGGUAGAUUUUGGUGGGAUAUAAGGAAAAAAUCUUUUACAGUGGGGGUGGUGAGGCACUAGCAAAGGUUGCCGGAGAUGUGGUUAGUGCUCCAUCCCUGAAGGCUUUCAAGGCAAGGCUGGAUCUGGUCCCUGAUCUAGCUGUGCAUGUUCCUGUUCAUUGCAGGGGAGUUGGACUAGCUGACCUUUAAAGGUCCCUUCCAACUCUAAGGAUUCUGUGAUUCUAUGAUUCUGUGAUACAGGAGUAUCACUUCGUUGGUCAGGGAUUUGAAAAUGAUGGCUCUAUGUCCUGCAAGAUGUGGCAGGCUCUGAGGUACUGAGACAUGACUUCCUAUGCACAGCAUAGUGCAUAAGGUCACUUUUUGUUUAAUGCAUGGACUUGCAGUGUAAGAAACACUCUGGCUGAGACCACUGUUUUGCCUUUUGUGCAAACUCAACCUUUCUGAAGUGCUUUCUCAACUUGCACUCACAAAGGUGGGUGCAGGCACAGCUUGGCUUGGCCUCUCAGAGGUAUCAUCCUAUUGACUCCACACAGAGUGGAUUUCACAGGCACCUUCGACACUAUCUAUCUUUGGUACUAGAACUGAUAAAGGGAGAUUCAAGCCAUCGUAGAGUAUGUACUAUAUAUGCUGCCACCCUGUCCUCUACCUAUUUUCCUACCUACACAUUAACAAACUAACUUACAUUCAUUUCUUCUCUAAAUUUGAGAAAAUUGUGGAUGAAAUCACAUGGUAUAGUGAACAGAAUGUGGUUUGAUGUGGGAUUUUGCAGCCUGUGGAUGAAUAGUUGUGCUGGCACUGCCGUGCAGUGUGUUCCUGGGCUGGGGGUGAGGUGAUAGCAUGAGGAUCAUGAUUGCUGCACAGCUUCUUUCCCUCAGUGGCUCAAAGGCAGUGCACAGGUAGAAAGAUAAAUGUUUGUGUUUUGUGAGUCUGUUAUGCCCAUGGUGGAUAAAGGGCUGGAUAAAUCCUCCUGGCUGUCUAAUGAAGAAAACAGUGCUUCACUAAUAUUUGCCAAGUCCACCUGGGAGUCAUCAGUAUGCAGCUGUGUCCUCCAUCCUCUCCCUUCAAGCUGGGAUUUAACUACUGCCUUUUCUGCUUUCUACAAACGUUGAUUUUCACUUGUCCAUCGGAUGAAUAUUAACUGGCAGCUGGAAAGCUGCUCCUGGUACACCUGAGCUACUGCCCUGGCUCCCACUUUGCUCAACUGAUGUGUUAUAGGUUUUAAUAAAUGCAAACAGAAAAGAAGGAGGCAACAUGUUUGAACAACCAGUGGUUAUCUUGGAAAUGCUGGGAUGGAUGCCUCUUCUUGCAGGGCAUAGAUUUGGGCAAAAUAUUAAAAAAUUAUUAAGCUGUGUUCUCUGCAUGUUAGAAUAUGCCGAUAUACAUUUUGUAAAUAUAGGUCACCAUUGUUAUUUGAUAUUUACUUUGUAAUGCAGUGGAUCUCCUUAUGUACAAGGUAGUGACAUCAGAAGACAUUUUGAGUCUAAAGGGCAAUAUGUCUGGAAUAAAUAAUAUUUCUUAUUCCAGGAAUUGUUUAUUCUGAGUAACAGGAAUACUUCUGAAUUAUUAUCUUGACAUGAUGCUCUAUGUCACCCAGUCCCUUUUCUGUCAUAUUUCUCUCAUUAACCCUCUUGAGCUGUCCAGCAAUGAUGAGCUUUUUCCAGUAAUAAGAAAUAUGAAUUUGUAUUACCACUGUAUGUGCCUACACUCUGCAGAGAUCCUCUGUAGUUCGUGGCCUCAAUAGAGCAGCACUGUUUUAUCUCUAAAUGUAACAUUUUGUCCAUUUUUCACACAUUGCAUUUUACUUUUCUGCUGCAAGAAGGAUCAAAUGAAAACAACGGAUUUGCUUUCAGAUAUAUGUCCCUGUUUAAAUCAGUUACUCAGGCUUUAUAAGUGUUUGAGAUUGCCAAAAUUACAUCCCAACUUCAUGAAAGCUUAUUUAAUUAUCACUUCCGUAAGCUGAUAGUACAUUUUAAGGACAACAUACUAUUCCAGCCAGCUAAGAAAAAGAGAGAGGUGGAUCUUGGAUGUAAUGAUGCAUGGAGGAGGUACUUCUGGGACAUCUGAACUCCAAGGAAGAGCAAUAAAAAGGAGUUUCAGAAUUGCCAUUGAACUGUGACUCUCAAUAGCUCAUCUGAAUGAUGCUUCAAGAUCAUCUUCAUUUACUUACUUAGAGAAGGUGUUUGAGUCCAUGAGUCCACGCACAUGCUGGGUCUACACAUGGGACAUCCUAAUAUAUUUUGAACUCUAUGAGAAUUGGAAGAGAUAGCUUGUUGGCAAAAACUUGAUUACUGGAUUGUUUUAAAAGUGGAAUAAAUUAACUCUUAUGUUGAAUUGAAUUACGUUGACUUACUUACUUUUUAGAAAUCUGCUCAGAUCAAACCAAGGAGGGCUGAAAACUUCAUGGAAUCACAGAAUCCUAGGGGUUGAAAGGGACCUCGGAAGAUCUUCUGGCUCCUACACAUAGCAAUAGUGGGAUGGGGGAGAGAAGUGACUGAAUGACUGUGUGGUGCUGAGCCACCUGCUGGGUUAAACCACAACAGUUGAUUUGAUGCCCAAUGUUGUGCUUAUCAUGGGGAUUGGAGUGACCACAGGACUGGUUGUGAGAGCUGCAACACCUACAGGACUUGUCAGAAGUAUUAGAGUAACCACAGGAUCUGUCAAAAAAGUGAGAGCAGCUGCAGGGUCCAUCACAGGAGCUGGAGGAACCACAGGACUUGUCACAGAGUUUGGAGCAGUCAAGGGCUUGUUGCAGGAGUUGGAGAGUCCAUUACAUUGUCAUCAGAUCCAGAAGUAUUCUCUUCCUGUUGAGAAUGCUGAAUAAUGUUGAACGGAGCUUGACAGGCAUAGGCCUGACCCCAGCAUGCUGCAAUGAUUUGUGCCUCUUUAGGAUUGCCACAGCAACAGCAGACCUUUUGCAAAUAUUCUACUAGUUUUUCAGAAUUUUGCAGUUGUUCCAAGGUGAAGUUCCAAACCACUGGGGGUGCCCACCACUCUAGGCACCUGCCCAUACUAUCCCAUACUCCCUACUACUCAGAACAAUCCUGCCUCGGGGCAGAUCUCUGGAUGAUAUUCGUAACUAAUUGUUUAAUCUUAAACAUGACCUGGGACACAUUUACAUCACAUAGUGAUAGUGGCAUGUUGGCUUGAGCAUCUCAGAGAUAUUCAAAAUUCUUAAGAGCUAUUGCAAUUAGCUUUUGAGCUCUAUGGAAAGAAGGAAAGGCGAAAGAAAGGCUGAUGGACUGCUGGAAAGUGUCCUCCUCUAUCUCCUCAUUAGCCAGCCUCUCUGAGGAGACAAUGCAAGAGGUGUAAUUACUAAUAGUAUCAACAAUAUGGCUUCCAAAACCCAAAGGUGACUGCUAUGCCAAAUGCACACAAAACACUUUCUCAGCUGUCAAUUUUAUCAUAAUAUAAGCUAAUACCACACACAGCAUAGAAAAUAAAAACCUUAAUCCAACCCCCAUAAUGGACAAACAAACAGCAAGCUAGGUACUACGAAGUAUAGUUAAGACUCUCAAAUUGCUCUGUAAAUAUGGAAAAAAUCAACCUCAACAUCGUGAGCAGCAAUUAUCAAACUACCACAACACCCUGUGUUAACACAGUCCGCUCAGGUCUGCUGUUAUCUCAACCCUCUGCCCCACUUUGGGCAGCAAAUUGACUAUUGUGGUUUAACUGGCAGGUGGCUCAGCACCGCACAGUUGUUUGCUCACUCCUCUCGCACAAACUUUGUGGAGCUGAGCCACCUGCUAGGCUAUACCACAAAAUUGACUUUAUUCAUCCUCAUAUUACAUAGUCAUAGUAAUAAAGAAUUGGUCAAAUAAGACUGUAGAGGAGUUACAAUUUCACUGGACUGACUUAUCCCUAAAAUGAAUAAAUAUUUAAAUCUGAGCAAUCAUAUGGCAACCACACACAUUAGAUGUUUAUUGCCCAGUGCUAGCCUUGUAGUCACACCAUUUGUCUUCUUCUAUUUUCCUUUGUAGAUUAUUUGAUGAUGUUGUUUUCAGUUCACUUCAUAUGGCUCUUUUUUUACUCCUCACAAAUUGCUGGAGACUAAUGGGACAAUUCUUCAGCAAUUACACUGAAACGAUCACAGAAAUGCCCUGGUUCUAUUUCACGUUUCGAUACGUGGGAGCACUGCAUGCUAUCUUGUCCCUUGAAUUUCCUGUAUAUUAAACCUUAAGAAAGAUAUUAAUCAGCACCGAGUAAGACUACUGACACUGAUGAAUUCCUUUUUAAUUGUUCAGUGUAUAGUCCAGACAGGGCAUCAGUGCAUCAACCAGGCAAGCCAGAUGAGAUCUGAAUCACAGAGGGUCUAGGAUGCUGGCAAUCAGUCUACUCACACUGUUCCUGCUGUUUCCUAAUUCCUCAGCUUGUGUGGUAGAGAAGCAGAACUCAGCACUUGCACUCCUCACUUGGUACUCCAAAUGCAGGUCCCACAGGGGUCUUUCUGCAGCUAUAGUUUACAGAAACAUGUGCACAGUGCACAGUACGCAUCACUGUUGUCAGAGGUGACAAGAGCAAUUUUUGCAGUUAUACUUCAUUUAUAGCCCUGCUAUAUAUAUACAUUUGAUUCUUGUAUGUGGAGAACAAAGCCUUCUAGGCUUAAAUAUUUCAGUACUUGUAAGACCCUAGGCAAAUAGUCUGGUGGUAACAGACAAGUACAAGAAAAUAUUUCUUGGAGGUAUCUAAGAGAACUCAAGUGCAGCAUCCCUUUAGAGAUCCAACUUUCCUUUAUAGUUCUGUAAUCUUCUGCAAAACAAUCUUUUUUCUCUGUACAGAAAGCCAGUUUUAUCGCUGUAUAUCUUAUGGAAACAACUACCUAAAUAAAUCAGUAUCUUUUAUUAAGAAAGAACUCUUGAAAGUGUUUGUAAUGGAGCGGUUCAGAUUGCUUUUUCUUAAUGUAUUUGGUUCCAUUCUUUGCCUUCAGCAAUUGCCUAUCACAAAGCUCCAUGUGGAGAUAGAAAUCAAACCAGCAGAGGAAAUAACUGAAUAAGAAUGAAGUUGUUUGUGGAUCUCCUUUCAUAUUGUGUGAAAUUCACUGAUGUAUACUUUUUGAGAUGAGAAUAGUAUCUCCCCUUCUGCAGUCUUUCUUGUAAAACGUUGAAUAAACUGGAGGCACCAAUAAAUAAAUGGUGAAAUUACCUAAUGCAACCACACUGACACGAGUAUUCCUGUUUGUGGACGGUUAUUUACAUUGGUAUUUCCAGCUAAUUUACUAAAAAUUCUGGACUAAGGAAUUAUCUGCUCACAGAGAUAAAGUGUGUGGGUUACCAAGCCAAUGUUUACUCUCAUCUCUUGGUUUCACUGUUCUUGGAAUUGGAUGUGUUGGGAAGUUACAACUUACAUGAGUAUGUGUAGAUGUUGUUACUAGAUUCGAAGGUCAAAAGUGCCUAAGAGGUUCCUACAUUUAGAUACAGAAUUUGUAUUGUCUUAGGCUGGAUAAUUGUACUUUGCUAUCUUAGCUACUUAGACAAUUAAAAAAAUAUUAUUGAGUAUUUCUUUCAUUUUUUAAAUCUCUUUCAUUUUUCCACAACAGUUUUGGUUCUUUUUU
ensembl:lncRNA